AUUGAACGCUGGCGGCAGGCCUAACACAUGCAAGUCGAGCGGGGUUUUCGGACCUAGCGGCGGACGGGUGAGUAAUGCGUAGGAAGCUACCCGAUAGAGGGGGAUACCAGUUGGAAACGACUGUUAAUACCGCAUAAUGUCUACGGACCAAAGUGUGGGACCUUCGGGCCACAUGCUAUCGGAUGCGCCUACGUGGGAUUAGCUAGUUGGUGGGGUAAUGGCGAACCAAGGCGACGAUCCCUAGCUGGUUUGAGAGGAUGAUCAGCCACACUGGAACUGAGACACGGUCCAGACUCCUACGGGAGGCAGCAGUGGGGAAUAUUGGACAAUGGGCGCAAGCCUGAUCCAGCCAUGCCGCGUGUGUGAAGAAGGCCUUCGGGUUGUAAAGCACUUUCAGUAGGGAGGAAGGGUGUUGUGUUAAUAGCACAGCAUUUUGACGUUACCUACAGAAGAAGCACCGGCUAACUCUGUGCCAGCCGCCGCGGUAAUAC
rnacentral:rRNA from 1 species